AACGUAGGACGCAAGCGUUAUCCGGAGUUAUUGGGUUUAAAGGGCGCGUAGGCGGCUAACCAAGUCAGUGGUGAAAUCCUGCAGCUUAACUGUAGAAGUGCCUUUGAUACUGGUUGGCUCGAGGGAGGUAGGGGUAUGUGGAACUUCUGGUGGAGCGGUGAAAUGCGCUGAUAUCAGAAGGAACGCCGGUGGCGAAAGCGACGUACUGGACCUCUUCUGACGCUGAGGCGCGAAAGCUAGGGGAGCAAACGGG
rnacentral:rRNA from 1 species